AUUGAACGCUGGCGGCAUGCUUUACACAUGCAAGUCGAACGGCAGCGGGGAGGAGCUUGCUUCUCUGCCGGCGAGUGGCGAACGGGUGAGUAAUACAUCGGAACGUGUAGAGAAGAGGGGGAUAACCACCCGAAAGGGUGGCUAAUACCGCAUAAAUUCUGAGGAAGAAAGCUGGGGACCUAGGAAUAGGCCUAGCGCUUUUUGAGCGGCCGAUGUCGGAUUAGCUAGUUGGUGAGGUAAAGGCUCACCAAGGCGAAGAUCUGUAGCGGGUCUGAGAGGAUGAUCCGCCACACUGGGACUGAGACACGGCCCAGACUCCUACGGGAGGCAGCAGUGGGGAAUUUUGGACAAUGGGGGCAACCCUGAUCCAGCCAUGCCGCGUGUAUGAAGAAGGCCUUAGGGUUGUAAAGUACUUUUGUUAGGGAAGAAAAGUCAGCUGUGAAUAAUGGCUGAUACUGACGGUACCUAAAGAAUAAGCACCGGCUAACUACGUG
rnacentral:rRNA from 1 species